ACGAACGCUGGCGGCGUGCCUAAUACAUGCAAGUCGAGCGGACAGAAGGGAGCUUGCUCCCGGAUGUUAGCGGCGGACGGGUGAGUAACACGUGGGUAACCUGCCUGUAAGACUGGGAUAACUCCGGGAAACCGGAGCUAAUACCGGAUAGUUCCUUGAACCGCAUGGUUCAAGGAUGAAAGACGGUUUCGGCUGUCACUUACAGAUGGACCCGCGGCGCAUUAGCUAGUUGGUGGGGUAAUGGCUCACCAAGGCGACGAUGCGUAGCCGACCUGAGAGGGUGAUCGGCCACACUGGGACUGAGACACGGCCCAGACUCCUACGGGAGGCAGCAGUAGGGAAUCUUCCGCAAUGGACGAAAGUCUGACGGAGCAACGCCGCGUGAGUGAUGAAGGUUUUCGGAUCGUAAAGCUCUGUUGUUAGGGAAGAACCAAGUGCGAGAGUAACUGCUCGCACCUGACCGUACACCAAGCC
rnacentral:rRNA from 1 species